GUCCCUGUAGCGCAAUAAGUAGUGCGUUGAACCUCUAAUUCAAAGGUCAUGGGUUCGAAUUCCACCUGAGAUG